UCUACCUUCUACUCCUUGAGUGCAUGAAGCCAGUAUCUAAGUUCCACUCUCCUUUUUCCCUCUUCUGGCUCCAUCCUGACCCCCCCCCCUUGAGUAUCUUGACUCAACAAGGCUUCCUCACCCUCCUCCAGCUGUGGAGAAAUCAGGAGCAGUGAAUGAUCGGAAUGGACCUUUGAGAUUACAGUGUGGAGCUGACAUUGCCCGUUAAGUCUGGGCAGAUCUGACUUAAUUGAUUAAUUUAGUUGUUGGAGCAGAGACAACCCAGAAGCUGGGAUCAGCCUCCCCCUCUGACAGUGUGCUGAUGAGAAGCGUUGACUUAAGAGAUGCCAAGUCACUCAGCAGAUGUCACACAGAUGACAACUAGCAAAGAUGGAAGGCUUCAUGCUGGAGGCAGUUCUAUAAGACAGCUGAGUUCUCCAGAGCUGGUAGGAGACAGACUUGCUCAGGUGAUAGAUCCGGCCAUGAUAUUGGCCAUAAGAGAAUCUGACACUGCAGAAGU
rnacentral:lncRNA from 1 species